rnacentral:tmRNA from 1 species
CACCUUUUCUUUCGCCGCACGAUCGCUAUAUCCAAGGGGUCGGGCUUGCCCGGCUAUGGCGAUAAAUUGCGGCGUGUCAUAGGCGCAGCGGACCCGGGGGCAGUACCCGGCGGCUCCACCACCAACCGCCCGAAACGGCGGAUGAUGACGGGGCCGAACCAGGAUCGACGUGUGUUGAAAAGCGCAGCUUUCGCUCGGAAUGGGACCACCGCAACGGCCCAUUACACAAGUGCCAAUGACAAUGAAGCACUCGCAAUUGCGGCCUAAUUCUGGAUCUCACGAUCUAGGUUAGAACGACAAAAGCGCGGUUGAGCGCACCGGGCAACAGAAGCGCCGCGGC